UUUCCUCAAUAAGCAUCAUCAAUUCACAUUUAAACAAGAAAAUCGUAAUUCAUGCCGAACAGACAACAUACAGUAUCAGUUCUUCAGUCAUUCAACCCAUAAUUAAUAAAACAGUAAUAUAUGCAUUCGAAACUAUAAAAUGAACACAUCAAACCCCAUAAUGCAUUUAAAGCUGUAAAACAGUGUAAAACAUGCCAAAUAACAGUAAAUCAUCAAUCACACUAGACUCGGGCUCCAUUAGCAACCUUAAG
rnacentral:lncRNA from 1 species